UACGUAGGGUGCAAGCGUUGUCCGGAAUUAUUGGGCGUAAAGAGCUCGUAGGCGGUUUGUUGCGUCGGCUGUGAAAUCCCGAGGCUCAACCUCGGGUCUGCAGUCGAUACGAGCAAACUAGAGUGUUGCAGGGGAGACUGGGAAUUCCUGGUGUAGCGGUGAAAUGCGCAGAUAUCAGGAGGAACACCGGUGGCGAAGGCGGUUCUCUGGGCAUGUCCUGACGCUGAGGAGCGAAAGUGUGGGGAGCGAACAGG
rnacentral:rRNA from 1 species